CGGCAAUCACCAUCUGCAGUGAUUUUGGAGCCCAGAAAAAUAAAGUCAGCCACUGUUUCCAUUGACCCCAUCUAUUUGCCAUGAAGUGAUGGGACCGGAUGCCAUGAUCUUAGUGUUCUGAAUGGGAAGAAACAGAGGAGUCAAGGACGAUACCAAGGUGCUUGGACUAAGCAAUAUGAAGAAAAGCACUUUCAUUGAUCAAGAGGCAAAAGACAGAGGAAAAACAGAUUUGCCAGGGGGAAAAAGCAGUCAGCAACAUCUGCAGCAUAGGUGCUAAUAAUCUGUCUGAGAGAUGCAUGAAGAAGCAGGAAAAUGUGUUCACAGAACCUCAUGCAAGCCAAGGAACUCAGAAGGACAAUUUCCCAACCAGGUAUUGAGCUUGGGCCCCCUGCAUUGGAAGCAUGGAGUCUCAGCCACUGGACCACCGGGGAAGUCCCUCCUGAAAUGUUUAAACCAUGAGCUACACACUAAAAUUCCAUACCUAAAAUUCUGCUGGAUCUGAGUCAUUGCCUCCUCCCAAGUAUUCUAGCAGGUCCUGUGCACGACAAGACACAAAAAUCGGACCUCUGCCAAUUGGAGAUCAGAUCUCUGCUCCUUCAGAGUACUUGAGAAAGGGAAGGUGAGAGAUGAAGUUCAGCUCCGCUUGCCAACAGA